ACUCYUACGGGAGGCAGCAGUGGGGAAUAUUGCGCAAUGGGCGAAAGCCUGACGCAGCGACGCCGCGUGGGGGAUGACGGCCUUCGGGUUGUAAACCUCUUUCAGCAGGGACGAAGCGAAAGUGACGGUACCUGCAGAAGAAGCACCGGCCAACUACGUGCCAGCAGCCGSGGUAAUACGUAGGGUGCAAGCGUUGUCCGGAAUUAUUGGGSGUAAAGAGCUCGUAGGCGGUUSGUCGCGUCGGCUGUGAAAUCCCGRGGCUCAACCUCGGGUCUGCRGUCGAUACGGGCGGACUGGAGUACUGCAGGGGAGACUGGAAUUCCUGGKGUAGCGGUGAAAUGCGCAGAUAUCAGGAGGAACACCGGKGGSGAAGGCGGGUCUCUGGGCAGUUACUGACGCUGAGGAGCGAAAGCGUGGGGAGCGAACAGGAUUAGAUACCCUGGUAGUCCACGCCGUAAACGUUGGGCGCUAGGUGKGGGGGCCAUUCCACGGUCUCCGUGCCGCAGCUAACGCAUUAAGCGCCCCGCCUGGGGAGUACGGCCGCAAGGCUAAAACUCAAAGGAAUUGACGG
rnacentral:rRNA from 1 species